rnacentral:sRNA from 1 species
CCGGCAGCGGGCGAUCGGGGGUCAGGUGCCUCCACAGUCAGCAUGGCAGCGCUGCGCUACGCGGGCCUGGAUGACACGGACAGUGAGGACGAGCUGCCUCCGGGCUGGGAGGAGAGAACCACCAAGGACGGCUGGGUUUACUACGCCAAUCACACCGAGGAGAAGACUCAGUGGGAACAUCCAAAAACUGGAAAAAGAAAACGAGUGGCAGGAGAUUUGCCAUACGGAUGGGAACAAGAAACUGAUGAGAACGGACAAGUGUUUUUUGUUGACCAUAUAAAUAAAAGAACUACCUACUUGGACCCAAGACUGGCGUUUACUGUGGAUGAUAAUCCGACCAAGCCAACUACCCGGCAAAGAUACGACGGCAGCACCACUGCCAUGGAAAUUCUCCAGGGCCGGGAUUUCACUGGCAAAGUGGUUGUGGUCACUGGAGCUAAUUCCGGAAUAGGGUUCGAAACCGCGAAGUCUUUUGCCCUCCAUGGUGCACAUGUGAUCUUGGCCUGCAGGAACAUGGCAAGGGCGAGUGAAGCAGUGUCACGCAUUUUAGAAGAAUGGAACUAACAUCAGAAUCAUCUGAAUCAUCAGAAUUGUGUAUUUUGGAAAAAUCGGAUUCAUCAAAUGAAUCUUCAGCCAGCAACUGUUCGAGAAUGAUGUUAACAUCACAUGUAGGAAUGCUACAUUUUCUCGGAUUUGACAUUUUCAGUGAUGGAGAACUAUUAUAUUUUGUAAAUGGAAAUACCACUACUAAAAACAGAAGGCUAUAA